UCCCAAUAUUUUUCCCUGCUUUCCUCAGGCCCGUACGUGUCACCAGCAGCACGUGCACGAAAGCAGGGGGACUUUUCAAUUCCCCCCGAGAGAAAGGUGGUGGUUACUUCAGGUCCCUCUCUUUUCCUCCCCCAACAUAUUGAAGUCCACACACUUGUUUUUAAAGAAAAGCAACAAAGAUAGCAUCCUUUCUUACCUGAAAUGAUCAGGAAAUGAGACAUGUAGCCAAGAGGAAAAAAAUAGCACAGAUUCUCAAUUGUCAAGCAAUCAGAAGACAGCAAAUAUGGGACAUAAAAGGCAUACUAAAUGUAAUUUAACCUUCGACAAUGCGAGAGGAUUUUGUAGAUCCUCAGGGUAGUCAUUAUAAGUAUUAAUCAUCGCAGUAGAAAGAACCUGCUAACGUAACAGGUGGCAGAAUGUCAGCGAACGGGGAAUGUACUACGGAGAGAGAGGCGCCGUGGCCCCUGGGAAAGACCGCCCUGACACAUGGUUGGUUUCAAGGGGAGCAGUGCAGCUGCCAGGGCACAUA